UGAGCUGCUGCUCGUUGAGAUUGCUCGGUCGGUCCCGAAUUAUUUUAGAUUUGCCUGUAAAAUUUUUAUUUUGAGCGAAUUUGAGUCGUGACAUGUCAACAGAGAACAAAAACUAGAAUGUGAACACAGGAAGGGUCAGGUGUGAUCUGCGAGGUCCAGCAAACACACGGACAAAAUCGGAGUCAUCAAGGAUCCAGCUGUUUAUUGGCAAUUUGGACCGUACAGAAAGUACACAAGUGUGAGAGAGAGGAGGGGACGGCAUCAGAAAGGACCUAGAGCUGGGACUCUUUCAAGGAUCACCCAAAGCACAACCACGCUAUAUGCACAAGGCAGUUGGUUCUAACAUUUUAUCAGAAUUUGAAGAAACCUUUCUACUUCAAAUAUUAAAUGCAUUUCAUUCAAGGCAGCAUUUUUCCUGCGUAAAGAGGAAAGAGCCUGUGGCUGUUGACAACUCCGAUAGUCCUAUCCUUUACCACCGACAUGGUUUCUGUUGCAGGUUCCAUUCUCGAACUGUUCUACACAUUCUCACUGCACAGACACAUUAUUAAAACAUGUUUUCACAGAAACUAUAGAUUUCCACCAAAAUAAGAUUUAACUGGUUUCAGUCAAAAGAAGUACAAGGGUUUCUCUUGCAAGUGCAGCGCAAAAUAUGCAUGUUUUGGUACAAACACUUUGAGUCUUUAAAUGUUGUGUUUGGAUUUUACAGGUUUUUAUCAGUACAUCCAAGCACAA